AAUUUCACGGCUUAAUUCUUGUUUAAUUAGGUUUCAUUCUGACUCUUCUAAACUGGAUAAUUUCGCUAACUCUGUUCAAGCUUUUUCAUUUAUUAAUUUAGCAAUUUGUUGGCUUUCGGUAUCAUCUGUUAUAUUAGUUUUUAAAACCAUCAGAUAAACUUGCAAAAUAUUAUUUAGUGCAAUCUUAUUCUUUUUAAAGAGUUUAUAAAUGGCAUAAAAGCGUUCAUUUUGGUUAAGUUUACGUAAUGGUUCCCUAAUUAAGCGUGUGUUUAAAUCUUGAAUCUUGGGAUUAGCAAAACGGACUAAGUUAUUUUUGCCAUAACUUAACAAAUUAUUUUUAUUAAAUUCAGGAUAUUCAGCACAAAGGGCAUCAAUAAUUUGUUGGGCUAAUUUUUCUACAAAAGUCAAAUUACUUUUAACUUGCAAUGUUUCAUGUACAUACUUAAGCUUUUGUUGAAAGCCUAAAAGUCCAAUAACACUGUGCAGUGCAUUGACUAAUAAAAGUUUUUUAAUAAUGAAUCUAUCUAAACUAUUCUUUUGAUUUACUCCCUUAAUUUCUAGCGGGAAAGUUUCAGCAUAAAUUUCUGAAUACUUCUCGCAAUAAAUAUCCAAGAAAUUCGCUUUCUUUUCGAAGUUAGGUGCAAUUGUAUCGAUUACCACAUCCACAAAAUUUACUUGUGUGUUAUUUAAUUGCAAAAUGUUUUUAAAGUUAGAACUAAUCCGAAAGCCGUUUUCAAAGCAAAGCACUAUAGCCCUUUUAUGGAACUUAGCUUUGUCAAACAAAGUUUUUAAACUAG
rnacentral:sRNA from 1 species